UGGGGAAUAUUGGGCAAUGGGCGAAAGCCUGACCCAGCCACGCCGCGUGAGUGAUGAAGGCCUUCGGGUCGUAAAGCUCUGUGGGGAGGGACGAACAAAUCUGGGGCUAAUCACCCGGAUCCUGACGGUACCUCCUUAGCAAGCACCGGCUAACCCUGUGCCAGCAGCCGCGGUAAUACAGGGGGUGCAAACGUUGCUCGGAAUCAUUGGGCGUAAAGCGCACGUAGGCGGUCUGUUAUGUCGGAUGUGAAAGCCCUUGGCUCAACUGAGGAAGUGCAUCCGAAACUGGCAGGCUAGAGUACGAAAGAGGAUCGCGGAAUUCCCGGUGUAGAGGUGAAAUUCGUAGAUAUCGGGAGGAACACCGGUGGCGAAGGCGGCGAUCUGGGUCGAUACUGACGCUGAGGUGCGAAAGCGUGGGGAGCAAACAGG
rnacentral:rRNA from 1 species